rnacentral:misc_RNA from 1 species
UUUCCGUAGGUGAACCUGCGGAAGGAUCAUUGUAGGAUUGUUUUGGGAGGGGUGGUUGUGAUUUGUGGGGAUUGUGUGUGGUUGUUUGGAUGGCUUGGAUUGCCUGGAUUGCCUGGCUGUCUGCAACUCGACUCGUCUCAUCACAACCACUCUUUACAUUGGCACAGACCAGUGGUCUGGUGUUUGGAGCAACAGACCACUGGUGUCUGAUGUUUGCGCUUGCUCGUUUGACAGAAACAAUACCAUAUCAUAUUAUCAUUGCAAAACUUUUAACAAUGGAUCUCUUGGCUCUU